AAAAUAAUCCUACCCUUUGUGAAUUUUGUUUGUUUGAAUAAUUUUUUUUUUUAAAAAAUUAUUGGAGUCUUUCCCUUUAGAGUUUGCUCUUGAGUUUGUAAAAGAAUUCGAAAACAUCUAAAGGGGAUGGUCAAUAAUUUUUUUGAAAAAAGACAUUUUUUAAAAUUAAACUUUUUGUAUUCAUUUGUCUAAAAAUUAUUUUUAUAAUAUAAAAACAACUUUUGACAAUGGAUCUCUUGGCUCUCGCAACGAUGAAGAACGCAGCAAAAUGCGAUAAGUAGUGUGAAUUGCAGAAUACGUGAAUCAUCGAAUCUUUGAACGCAUAUUGCACUUUUUUAGUUUACUAAAAAGUAUGUCUGUUUGAGUAUCAGUAAAAUAUUCUCAUAAAAUCAUUGUAUUUUUAUGGUUAUGAGUGUUUUACAACGAUACAAGUUGUUUCACUUUAAAUUUUUUUUAAUAUUGAAAUUUUUCUAAUUUUAAUAAUUAAAAUUGGAUAAAAUUUUCCCGUCAAAAGGAAUAACCUAAACAAUUUUAAAUGAUUAAUUUUAGCAAAAUUUUCGAAAAAAGGAAAAUUUUUAUUAAAAUAACUUGAUCUCAAAUCAGAUAAGAGUACCCGCUGAACUUAAGCGUAUCAAUAAGCGGAGGAAAAGAAACUAACAAGGAUUCCCUUAGUAACGGCGAGUGAAGCGGGAAGAGCUCAAAUUUGAAAUCUUCGAAGGUUUUACCUUGACGAAUUGUAGUUUAAAGAAGUGUUUUCUGCUGAAGUUUUGGUAAAAGUUCUUUGGAAUAGGACAUCAUAGAGGGUGAGAAUCCCGUAUUUGACCAUUAUUUUCAGCUUUGUGAUACACUUUCAAGAGUCGGAUUGUUGGGAAUGCAGUCCAAAAUGGGUGGUAAAUUUCAUCUAAAGCUAAAUAUUGGCGAGAGACCGAUAGCGAACAAGUACCGUGAGGGAAAGAUGAAAAGAACUUUGAAAAGAGAGUUAAACAGUACGUGAAAUUGUCAAAAGGGAAGCGUUUGACACCAGUGUUGUUUUCUCGAAAAUCAAUUAAAAAUGGCUCGAUUUUGUAUUGCUGAGACCUUAAAAGCUCACUGUACAUUUUUCGUGUCUUUUUUAAUGCACUUUUCGUUUAACAAGUCAACAUCAGUUUCUUUUGUUGUAAAAGGGUCAUUGGAAGGUGGCUUUCUUUUCGGAGAAAGUGUUUAUAGCCUUUGGCCUCUGCAAUCGGAGAGACUGAGGUCUGCAGCGUAGACUCUUCGGGGUUAGAUACAUCUGUGCUAAGUUAUAGCUUUUUAUAGACAACUUGUUGACUAUAAUUAGUCUUGUAGCUUACUCGCUUAUGCUAUUU
rnacentral:misc_RNA from 1 species